UCACAGCUGUCCACACACACACACACUCACACACACACACACACACACACACACACACACACACACGCGCGCACCAGGCUCUGGCUUUAUGAUGUGUUUAUUUACAUCAGGUUGAUUCAUUUGUACAGAUUUGUACGACGAGACGCGGUGUGUGUGUGUGCGCGCGCGCGGGACUGCGCUCCUGCGUGGAUCAGCUGCGUGAAAACCUUCUGAGAGUUGAGGUUCUCGCAGUUUUGGCGCGCUUCUCCGUAAACGCGCUUAUUUCUCAGCUGAUAGAUUUGAAAUAUUGCCAGGGAUAGAUCUUUAAAUCUGAGUCAACAUCAAACAAUCAGUAACAUCCUUUAGAUUUAGUCGUUGAAUGAAAAAAAUAAUACUGUAUUUUUCACACUUGGUGAUAAUGGAAUUAAAGUGAGGAGAGAACAGAAGUGGGCGUCACUUGUGAUUUUGUCUCGAGACAUCUGUGGACCUGUGGACUUCAUCCCGCAGCCUUGUUGCGCGCCCGCGUGUGUGUGUGUGAUCUGUGCAGCACCACGGACAGCUCCGCAGCUGCACGCGCUUCCUUCAAACUUCAGGGUUCAUAAAACAAAAACAACAACAACACACGAAGCAAACGUCUCCUCUUCUGCAGAAGAUGCUGCUGCUCUGGUUCUUUACCGUCUGUUCAUCGCACAUCAUCAUCAGCAGCAGCAGCAGCAGCAGCAGCGCUGGACACCAAGGAGAGCUGCACAGGCUGUAAUCUACGAAAACUCUGAAAAAGAGAGGGACAGAGAAGAUGGAACUGACCCUGUAAAUGGCCUCUGCGAGAAUAAAACCACGGAUGCUGUGAGAUCCGCUGCUGCAGAGGCUUUCUCUUCUUCUCUUUGGUGCUGCCACGAUCAAACGCCAACCAUUCGC